rnacentral:rRNA from 1 species
UACAGAGGCCUCGAGCGUUAGGCGGAAUCACUGGGCUUAAAGCGUGUGUAGGUGGAUGCCUAAGUACCUUGUGAAAUCCCACGGCUUAACCGUGGAACUGCUGGGUAUACUGGGCGUCUUGAGCCACUCAGGGGCUACCGGAACAAGCGGUGGAGCGGUGAAAUGCGUAGAUAUCGGGAGGAACAUCAGUGGCGAAGGCGGCCUUCUGGUCCAGUACUGACACUCAAGUGCGAAAGCGUGGGGAGCAAACAGG